ensembl:snoRNA
UCCUCCUGCAAAGGUGUGUUUUUGGUUCUCUGGUCUUGGCUGUGUAAGAAUUGGGGUCAAAAAAAUAUGGAUCUGGUGAGGUCUGGGGAUAGCUUGCCCCACACAGGCUCAAGAUCAAUCAUUCCACAUAG